GAUGAACGCUGGCGGCGUGCCUAAUACAUGCAAGUCGAGCGAACAGAUGAGGAGCUUGCUCCUCUGUCGUUAGCGGCGGACGGGUGAGUAACACGUGGAUAACCUACCUAUAAGACUGGUAUAACUUCGGGAAACCGGCGCUAAUACCGGAUAAUAUAUUGAACCGCAUGGUUCAAUAGUGAAAGACGGUUUUGCUGUCACUUAUAGAUGCAUCCGGGCCGCAUUAGCUAGUUGGUAAGGUAACGGCUUACCAAGGCGACGAUGCGUAGCCGACCUGAGAGGGUGAUCGGCCACACUGGAACGGAGACGGGGUCCAGGCUCCUGAGGGAGGCAGCAGUAGGGAAUCUGCGGCAGUGGGCGAAAGCAUGACGGAGCGACGCGGCGUGAGUGAUGAAAGUCUUGGGAGCGUAAAGCUCUGUUAUUGGGGAAGAACAAAUGUGGAAGGAGCUAUACACGGAUUGACGGUAACUGAUCAGAAAGCCACGGCUAACUACGUG
rnacentral:rRNA from 1 species